UAGCUGGCCUUCACGGGCAUGUGCACACCUCACUCAUCCACUCUACACCUGUGCACUUACUGUGGGUUUCGAGAGGCCGCGCUUGCGUGGUUGAUCGGGCUCACGUCUAUUACAAACUCUUCAGUAUCAGAAUGUGUAUCGCGAUGUAACGCAUCUAUAUACAACUUUCAGCAACGGAUCUCUUGGCUCUCGCAUCGAUGAAGAACGCAGCGAAAUGCGAUAAGUAAUGUGAAUUGCAGAAUUCAGUGAAUCAUCGAAUCUUUGAACGCACCUUGCGCUCCUUGGUAUUCCGAGGAGCAUGCCUGUUUGAGUGUCGUGUAAUUCUCAACCUAUAAAUCCUUGUGGUUUUUAGGCUUGGACUUGGAGGCUUUUGCUGGCUUUACCGUCGGCUCCUCUUAAACGCAUUAGCUUGAUUCCUUGCGGAUCGGCUCUCAGUGUGAUAAUUAUCUGCGCUGUGACCGUGAAGCGUUUGGCGAGCUUCUAACCGUCUCUUCGAGACAAACACUUUGACAUCUGACCUCAAAUCAGGUAGGACUACCCGCUGAACUUAAGCAUAUCAAUAAGCGG
rnacentral:rRNA from 1 species